AAUCGGUCCACCUCAGCCUGGGGACGCAGCCAGCCAAGCUCCAGUGUUGUCGGUGUCACAGCCACCACUCGGAGGUCCUGGGGCCCAUCGAUCACUAGCCAGGUUAAAGAGGAGGACUCAGUGUCAGCAUGGUACUGUGUGGAACUUGACCCUGUACAAGCUGGGGAGCAAACAUGCUGAGAGCGCUAACUCCUUGUGAGCCACUGUUCUAGGCGAGGUACACACAUGAACUCACUUAAUUCUCACAACAACCCUACGAAACAGGUCCUAUUAGUCCCAUUUUACAGAUAAGGAAACUGAGACACAGAAGGACAAGUAUCUUGCCAACGUCACCAACACCAAGAAAAUGGCAAGAAUUUAGGCCCUAGCAGUGUGAUCCCAGAGUCCCCUCUCAUGGGCACCCCCUAUUUAUCUGUCAGAGUCCCCUCUCAUGGGCACCCCGUGUUCAUCUGCCAGAAUUCCACCCAACAUGCACCAGGACUCUCCCUCCAGCUUUGCCCUGGCAACUCUGACUACCUGGGCAUGAGGAGCCUUUUCCUAAGCUUGGUCCUGUCAGAACAAAUGAAGUAGAUCAAGGAUGCCCCUUCAAGUUGCACUUUCUCCUUAAAGGGUCUGCCUCACCCUGAACCUCCUCGUAGAUGCCUGCUCAUGGCUGUGUAACAGGAGUGGGACCCGCAUCACAACCUUUCCCUUGAGGGACUUUUCUUGUCUCUUCACCCGGGUUGUAGGCUCCUCAAAACAAGAACCACCUGCUCAAAGUUCCACAAAUAUGUUUCCUGAUUGUUGAUUUUGUACCUGGCAUCAUGCUGGGCAUUGGAGACACAAAAAUAAAAUAUAUGGUCCCUGUCCUCAGGUAGCUGAGACUCUAAUAGCUAAAUGUAUGGCCACAUCUUGAAUAUAUGAGAUACUUACAACAAUCUCUAUGCUUAGCAAAUGCUUGUGAGAAAACAACACUCCUACAAGUGUACAUUUAAGGAAUUAUGAUUAUGUGUGGUGCCUCCAAAGGGAAUCUACUGGACCCUGCUCCAGGCAGGGUCUCCUGGAAUGCCCACCACUGGGGAAACAGGAGGAACUGUACAUCUG
rnacentral:lncRNA from 10 species